rnacentral:rRNA from 1 species
AUGCUGAAAUAUGAAGUAGAUAUGGAAGACAAAGAAAUACAACAAGCAGAAUGUUGCGUACUAGAAGAGUUUCCGCCAACUACCGGGCCAAAAGAACAUAUUAUGCAUGCGGCAACCACACAAGAGCAUGAAGUUAUUGAUAUAUCCAGUAAACACAAAGAUAUUAUGGAUGUCAGCAGCCACGCCGUCGCCCAACAAUCUUUCACAGUCCAUGAACAAAAUGAUCCACCAAUAGAACCAGAUCAACCACCACCAGACGACAAGAUACCACAACAUGCCGAAGAGGAAACAGACGAGCAAAAUAUCAACAGCAAUAUCACGACCACAGAGCAACUGGAACAAACAGGCACUGAUUUAAAAGAGGAUGAUAGAAGCAACGACAAACCAAAAACAAUGGAAAAGCAGGAAGAAGUUGAUGAAUUUCUUUCAAGCCUUAACCCACUACAACUAUAG